GGAAUUUAGCUCAGUGGUAGAGCGCUUGCCUAGCAAGCGCAAGGCCCUGGGUUCGAUCCCCAGCUCCG
rnacentral:tRNA from 1 species